UGUCAUAGUAGCUUAUAUUUUAAAGCAUCACCCUGAAGAGGUGAUGAAAGGGCUUCACUCUCAAUGACAU
rnacentral:tRNA from 1 species